UACGGAGGGAGCUAGCGUUAUUCGGAAUUACUGGGCGUAAAGCGCACGUAGGCGGCUUUGUAAGUAAGAGGUGAAAGCCCAGAGCUCAACUCUGGAAUUGCCUUUUAGACUGCAUCGCUUGAAUCAUGGAGAGGUCAGUGGAAUUCCGAGUGUAGAGGUGAAAUUCGUAGAUAUUCGGAAGAACACCAGUGGCGAAGGCGACUUACUGGACACAUACUGACGCUGAGGCGCGAAAGCGUGGGGAGCAAACAGG
rnacentral:rRNA from 1 species